CGCACCUAAAAGCGUUUUCUUGAUAGUCUCUUUGAAAUGCUCUUGAAAAUCGUAGAUGUGUGCCAUAGCAAGGCUCAGUUGCAAGUGAUUCUGCCCCAUCGAUGGCAGCAGAAUCAUAAUAAGCUGGCUACAGAU
rfam:Drosophila persimilis strain MSH-3 cont1.002208, whole genome shotgun sequence.